rnacentral:lncRNA from 1 species
ACUAUAUAUAGUAGCAGUUACAUAUGUUCUAAAAGUGGCGGAACUGUACUUGAUUUACGGUGUGAAUAAAACGAUGAUUUAAUUUAGCCGUUUUUAAUUAAAAUCAACCAAGAUAUGCCGCCCUCCCCUAACCCCGUGAAUCAAGUACACCCCCCUAAAAUUUAACUAAAAUUAAAAAAUAUAUAAAUUAAAUUUUAGAACUUUAAAAGGGUGGACCCAAAAUUUGUUUAUUCCGCCAUUUUGAUUGAUGUUUUUGUAAAGCAGUGAACCUUAAAAACGCGUAUAAGAUGUUCAAGAGAUCAGAGCCGAAGAGGUCUUGCCAACGGAAAUAAUGGACAAGCUAAAAAAAUUAGAAGAUUCUGUUGAGAACCUAA